ensembl:lncRNA
GUAGCUGGCUAAGGGAGAGUUUCUGUAGCUCUUUCUUUCUCUUUCUUUCCAUUUCACAGCCUGUGACCACUGCCUCUAGUUACUGUCUCUCUGUGUCGGUGUCUGUCUCUUAUUACCGCCGUCUCUUGCAGUGUGUGUGUGUGUGUGUGUGUGUGUGUGGUGUGUGCUGCUGCUCCGAGUGGAGAGGGAAUAGUGGAGGCAAAGGAUGUCAGUGCAAGAUAAACACCAGCACAGUCAAGUGGCUUUGAGAGAGAGAAAGAGAGAGACAGAGAGAGAGAGAGAGAAAGAGAGAGAGAGAGAGAGAGAGAGAAAGAGAGAGAGGCUGAUCCUAUGAGCUGGCUCUCAUUCCUCAGUUGAAUGUAGUACGAGGAGUUGAGUGUAGUACACAAGCUGUGUGGGCAGUUCACUUGUUCAAUACACCCUCAGUACACGCUUUGAUUUUCCCAAUUCUGCCUUUUCUCUUUGACCAGUCAAUUCUGCUCAACAGUACUCUCUCCUCCUGCAAAAGCACAUUCUGUUUUGUAAUCCAUGUCAAUUCUGCGUAGUGCCUUUUUCUAGAAAAAUCAUAAAAAGCUCUUUGAAGGGGAGAGUGAGGCGGUCGGGAAAAGACACUAACAAAAAUGUCCACCUUCUGUAUGCAGGGAUACUGGUAUUUAUAAUGGGUGGGACCUUUGCCUAGAGAAACAUUUAAUUAAAUUUUAUUGUAGUUAUACAGCACUUUUAAUGAUAGACAUUGUUACAAAGCAGUUUUACAAAAAUUCAGGACAUCCCUCAUGUCCAAGCCAGUGGCAAAGAAAUCCUUCCUGAGAUGACCUGAUGAUUUAAGAAGAGGUUGUCCUAUUGGUGCUACAAGUAUCAAAGCUAUCAGAUGAACUCCAUUUCCUAGAACCAGUGUUGUACAAGUAUUUUGUAUCAUGUACAAACCUUUUAUCAGCCAAGUUUAAACAUAGCAAAUGCUACAUUAUUUAUUCAAUUUUUUUGUUAAAUGUGUUUGGUAAUAAUAUGGUUCCAAUCUUUUCUAAUAUCAGACCUCGCAAUAUGGGCUGAAACCUGAUACUUAUCUCCUACUGACAUCCUCACAGUAAAUGAGCUGAGUGUUAUGUCUCUGCCAUGUUAUGAGAAAAAUAAGAGAUGUUUUGUCUUAUGUUCAUGUUUUGUCUGUUUUUAAACUUCACAUCAAUCCGUACAGGAUUUCACAGAGUUUCUUUGUGAUUGUUGCGGCCAAAAAUCCUUGAUUUUGCUGUGGCUUUUUAUAAAAUUUGCGAUGCAGAAUUACUACUUGAAUCGGCGAAAUUGCGAGUGCACUAAAUUGUUUUGCAAGGUCAUGUUUGUUGGUAAAUGAGACCUUUUAGCUGUACUCAUGUUCGACAUACAUGAAUCCAAGGGGGCUCUGGCUGAAUGCUCAUUGUGAUGAUGUCACAUGACAUGUCUUGGCCCAAAUGUGUGGAAAAUCUGUGUUAAUUUAGAAAAAUUGCAAGCUCCUGCGAAUAUUGCGGUGUUUCCUUGAUUUUGCGUUCAUUUCUGUGAUCACAAAAUUGCAAAAUCCUGGAGGGACUGAUCACAUGAUUUCACUGCUUUAAAUACUUCAGUGGAUCUGAUAAGAAAAUAUGAAAAGGUAUAAAAAUAUGAUCCAGGAUUUCCGGCCAUUAUCGGCAUCAAUAGCAAUCCUACAUCCCUAUUUCUCAUGUAGCUUCGUUUAAUUAUUCUGUAAUGAAUAAACCACGAUGGGAUGUUCUCUUAUAGGAAAAUAAUCAGUGGCAAUUGGUGUGAUGUGGGCCGUUACCACACUGGAUGUUUCCAAUAACAGCAUGUCCUAAAGGGUUUUAUUGCUUUUAUACCACUGCAAUAUGACAAUUAUUACUUUUUUAUUUUGUUAAUGAACAACACAUCAUGCUUUUAACUGAUUAGAACAUCCUUAAGACUUAAGGAUCCUUAAGACCAGCCUCUCUCUAUUUUUCUCUCUCUUGACAUAAAUAAGACAAAGAAAAUAAACACAGCUUGUCAUGUUACCAAAAAACCACAAGAAGGCAAAGCCAUCUGUCCUGAAGUCUCCUGUGGCGGAAAACUUGACCAUUAGAGCUGACACUGGAGACUCCUUCCAUUAGUAUUGGAUAAACAUCUCCUUACAGAAUUAUACAUUUUGAAUUGUCUAUCAUACAGCGCAUGUCUUUGGACUGGGGGAGGAAACUGGAGUGCCAAGAGGAAACCCCUGAGACACGGGGAGAACAUGCAAACUCUGCACACAGAGGGUGGAGGCAGGAUUCAAACCCCCAAACCCAGAGGUGCGAGGCUAACGUGUUAACCACUAAGCCACCAUGCUCCCUAUACAAAUGAUAAUCUUAUUAGAACAAACAUCCCAAACCUGUGAUCUGAAUUAUAGCUGGAACUACUGCAGAGCCACUGUCAUAGAAAAUGAAUCCACACCUACUGGCCAAUCAGAAUUGAGAAUUCAGCUGUGAUGUGGUAUAAUCGUAAUUAGCGGAAGAUCUGAGCAGAAGAUUAGCUGUAAUCAUAGUAACAGUAAUCGUAGAUGUAAUUUUGUGAGUUAAGAUCUCAGUAGUAUACUGUAACUACUUACGUUUCUCUAAACAUUAGCUGUAGUUCAUGUAUUAGAGAAGCCUAAUUCGUAAGUUAUCUAACUACAUUUUUAAGAUCUGAUACCUAAUACGUACAUGAUUCUAUAUCGUCUUCCUCAGUUGACGUGAGGAAAGUGUCGUGUUUUGAAAGUUCAUUUUGCUUGAACAGACAAUAAAACACACUUUUACCUAUUACCAUGUGCUGUUUACUUCCUGCCACACUGUUUGAUGGACAGCCUGUUCCAGGCUUUCAGUUUCGAGCAGUUUGAGAAUGCACUUCUGCCUAAACUAGGCCACAUUGCAUACUCUCGAGGUUCAUUAAAAAAUUUUCCUGUUUGACUGAAUUUUAUGUUCAUUGUGAGCAUGAUCAUCUCUAUUGAUCUUCUUAAAUAUUAGUCUGCAUACAUAUAUACACAUACAACAUAGCCUUUCUACCAAUUCUCACUUUUUCAUUCUCCCUCCCUAUAAGAGGGUAAGACAUCUGUUUGUGAGAGAGGAGGUCUGAUGGCUAAAAUGUUUGUGUGUGUGUGUGUGUGUGUGUGUGUG